CUCACACCAGCACGUCUACAUGCACCAAUAAACAGAUCGGCACGACCAUCGAAAAUGUCCGUCAUGCUCACCAUGCGUUGACAGCAGUUCAACCGUGUGAACUUCGCAGCACAUUCAACAUAAUUACUCACACCAGCACUUCUACACCAAUCGGCAGAUUUGCACGACCAUCCAAAAUGUCCGUCAUGCUCACCAUGCGUUGACAGCAGUUCAACCGUGUGAACUUCGCAGCACAUUCAACGCCACUACUGCGACCAGCAGGUCAACGACAAUCAGCGGCUCUUUUCGGAUCUCUGCCUAACAGUAGCCAAUAGCAUACACUGCUUUCAAAUAAUUCUCGGUUAGCUUCGUGUGUGUAUGCUGGUGUAGUGAACAUUAUUUGCGGUCUAUAGGUGGGAUAUGUGUGUGUUUGCUAUUGCACGAAUUGUGAUAACCCACAUCUGUAUGAAUUCCUUCUCCUACUCAAUGACAUGAGUACGUUGUUCGGUUUCUCUUCUUAAAAACAAUAGCAUACACUGGUUUCAAAUCUUUAUGGGUUAGCUUUGUGUCUGUAUGCUGUUGUAGUGAAGACUAGUUUGCAACCUUUAGGGGUUGGCUAUGUGUCUUGGCUACUGCAGGAUUAGUAUUCAGUACAACAGCAUGCACACACAAAGCUAACCCAUAAUGAAUUAAAACCAGUGUAUGCUAUUGUUUCUAAGGAAAUAAACCCUACAACUGUGGAAACAAACCCAACAUGUGGGGAAGACAAUUCCUGCAAUAGCAAACUCACACAUAGCCAACCUAUACAGCGCAUAGUAGUAGUUGUGGUCUUCCUUUGAUUACUA